AUCAUACUUCUGAGCACGAAGCGGCGGCCGCAUCGCCAUGGACACUAGUCGUGAGCAAAACACGGUAAUGGCGGCAACAGAAAGUCGGAUUGAAGUGUAAAGUGAGGUUUCUUUUCAGUGUUUUUACGCAUUCUCUAAACUUCUGAACGUGUUUUAACACGUGUGCAAGUGCAGCGGCUUAUUCCGCUACUGAUUUUUGUAUGAAUAUUGCUUUGACCGGCAAUGCUUGUCCACUGCGUCUGGUUUCUUAUUCUAUGACUGGGUCAGAUCCUGAAAUUCGCGUGCUUGCCAACACAAAGGUCUUCCAGGCAGACGAUUCUUCAGAGAGUCCUCGUAGUCGUCCGGUGACACUUUGCACUCAGGGAGGCCAACUUAGGAAUACAUCGGUUUAUUGUAGGACAAAGUAGCAUACAUCGUCGAGCGGCGGCUGAUUAUCGGCUGGCUCCUUCCCUCUUCAUCUCUACACACUUUUUUAAGUGAUCAUCAACAAUACAGGCUGUACCCGCCCCCAUUUUCUAGUCCGGUUUUUGGAACACGCAGACCAACAUCACUUAAACGAACACCACAUGGCCCUCUUGCUUGAAGUUCACACGCCUCAGUGCAGUUGCCCCGGUGCAAUGGCAAGCCCCGCGAACACAUAAAUCACCCCUCG